GUCCAUGUAGCACAAUGGAUGGCGCGUUGGACUACUAAUCCAAAGGACGUGGGUUCGGAUUCCACCUGGGAUG